AACUAUGGAUGAUGAGAUUAUCAAUUUAACAGUUAUCCCUGGCUGAUGUUUCAGGUGCUGAUAAUUUGUAUUCUGACAUAUUU